AUUGGAAGUUUGGAGUUUCAGAAAGAUAUCAAGCCUUGAAGGAAACUACCAGUUGGGAUCUUCAAGUGGAACAAAAAUUUACAGGAACUUGAAUAUUGCAGAAGUCGGGUAUUUCAAAAAGGCGGGAACUUAUUCCUGAAGUUACACAAUUUCAAAUACCACAGUCAGAAAGCAAAAAUGGAGAUAAUGAGCAAAAAUAGCAAAAGCAUAAAAGAACUCCAACAAAUUUAUUUGGAACAAGAAGAUAACCAGAUUAAAGGAAAAAGAAUAAGAGUCAUCAACGACAUGGCAAAGGAAUAGGCUCGUGGGUCUGGAUGCAGGACAUCAACACCACAAGGAUAAAAUAUUUUUGUUUCUUAUAUAUUAG